GGGGAUGAGUCAGCACUUGAGAGGGGAAGUGGCGGUUGCUUUGUGAGCUGUCAGCAAUAGGAGGCAGCAGACUUUGGCCCAGAGGAAGGAGCGCUGCGGCUGUACUUGGAGGAGAUAAGCAGGGAGCGGUGGUGAAAUUACAGCCCCGAGCCUGUUGCCAUUGGCACCGAUGGCAAGGUCCCAUAGAAAGCCACCUGCUUUCACAGGGGAGUGUCUCUUUUAAAUUCCUCUUUUGCAUGUGCCAGAGGAGACGUAUGUCGAUUGUACCCUCUGAACCUCUCAGGACAGCUCUGCACUGUGUUGUUUCACCUUGCAAGAGUCCAAUCAGUCCAGAAAGAAAGGACAUUUCCCUAAAUCCAUAUUGAGUUUCUUCUCUCAGAAAACAAGCGGAUGGGAUCACUACCCUGUGAUGAUGGAGAGUGAGGAGUACAUUUAGCAUCUUUGACCUCUGAUCAUCACAGACAAUGCCCACUUGCUUUGAAAUUAGCACUUUUCUGGUAAAGUUCUUCAUUUUCAUUCCACAAGGCUUCUUUCUCACUUGAUUGGGUUAUUUAGUUACAGGGGUGCACACUAUGUAAAUGUUUGCUAUUACAUUAUAACGGGGUAAAGAUAAAUGAAACAAUGCCAGUAACAUCCCAGUAGUUUUCAGGAUGUUUAAACACCAAAUACACUCGUAUACAUUUAGCAAUCACUUUGAUCUGUAUUAAUACGUAAGUGACUUGGCCUGGGGCUUUGGCAUGAGCUGACACCUAAUCUGCCAGCAACACAGAAAUACUUUAACAUUUUUGAAAAAUUCUCAGCUGAAACUAUUAAUUGACUUUGACCCAAAUUGAUGAGUAGCUUGGAGCACAGAGAAAUGCAUUUUUCAUUUGACAAAGGAAAGUUCACCCAGCUCUAAUUGUGACACUGCUUCUGGGGGCAGGGAAGCACCUGCCCCAGCAUCCUGUGCAAAUGGAGCCAGGGCACAUGAGUCCAAUGAGUCAAGGAAUAUUCUCUUGAUGUGCCAAUACUAGGAAGCAGAACACUCAUUUACAUAACGUAUAAAAGCAAAGUCCCAACA